rnacentral:tRNA from 1 species
GGGUUGUUAGCUCAGUUGGUUUAGAGCAUUACCUUGACAGGGUAGGGGUCAACGGUUCGAAUCCGUUACAACCCA